rnacentral:lncRNA from 1 species
AUGUAUAUUGCAGUUAACUUAUAUCGCACGGAGAAGCUGAAAAACUUGGCUAGGAUUUCAGUAUUGGUACAAAAAGAAGGACCCAGACUACCGCCAUCUUGGCCUAACCAUGGCCAUGGCCAUUUCCUGCUUCCUCUCUCUCAAGAUCCAGGCUUUUAAGCUCCCUUUUCACAGACUAGAUCACGCCAGGCCGGCAAGGCUCUGGUAGCCCCACCUCGAGAAAGGCUAGAGCAAGCAAGACAGUCCAGUGACCCCCGCCUCAAAGACAGCUACAAACCCCCUCCCAACUCUGUCAAAAUGAUUGUAAGACAUAGUACCAUUCUAGGACCCUUGCCAGUGGUGCUCUCUCCAGUUCUAACUCAAAUAAAACAGGUUUGUUGUUGUCACUGUUCUUUUAUUUCUCACCCUUUUUCCUGACAUAAAACACAGAGAAACGAGUCACCAAUAUACUUAGAACCCAAAUACUGAAAAUCCAUUAUACCACUGUAUUCAGUAAGACCCUUCAAUUGUGAAUUACUAACAUGAGCCACUAAAAUGUUUUUUAAUAUAGCAUGCUAUAUUACAAAAAUAAAGAAAACAAAAAUUACAAGAAUAGCAGUGAAGCCUACAUAUUUUAUUCUGAUGUUAUAAUUGACUACCAAAGCUGUAUUUUGUUCAUAUAAAGAAUAAAGUUCCUUUAAAAAUCAUUAUGUAAGAACAGUUGAAAGAUACUGACAUUUGGUGUUGUUAGAGGAAUUUAGCUAUGUGUUUUUAUUUC